UACAGAGGGUGCAAGCGUUAAUCGGAAUUACUGGGCGUAAAGCGUGCGUAGACGGUUAUGUAAGUCAGAUGUGAAAGCCCCGGGCUCAACCUGGGAAUUGCAUUUGAGACUGCAUAGCUAGGGUGCGGAAGAGGGAAGCGGAAUUUCCGGUGUAGCGGUGAAAUGCGUAGAUAUCGGAAGGAACACCAGUGGCGAAAGCGGCUUCCUGGUCCAGCACCGACGUUCAGGCACGAAAGCGUGGGGAGCAAACAGG
rnacentral:rRNA from 1 species